UCAGAGCUCUUGUGUUUGCUGAUAAAUUUGGAAUAAAUUUCCCUAAGUAGUUAACUAGCCCUAAGGCUCUCUGUAAGUCAUUUUUCUCCUGCUAUAGCCCGAACCUUCUCCAGAUCCGGUUGAACUCCUGCCCCAGACAAUUUCUCGCCCAGACUACCACAUCAUCGAUUAAGACUCCUACUCCUUCUAUUCCAUCGGAGUUGCUGCACAGUUCUAUGAAAAACUUCAGGGGCUGAGCUAAUCCCAAAUGAUUAUUAGAGAAAGGUUCUGAUGCGCCUAGAUGAAAUAGUGCAGAAUUAUCUGUAGGCUCGCGCUGCUAAGGAGACAACUACUGUACCAACCCACCAUUCAUCUGAUUCAGAAACCAGAGACAGCUGUUCGCUCUUUCACUGCUAGAAUUUCUAUUAUUGAAUACUGGUUCACCAUUAAAUAUUUUCUAGAGCCAGAACAAAAAUAAUGGUUGGCAUGUGUGUAAAUAUUGGAGUCAGUCUAUGUAGGUUUUUAUGCCAUUUUAGUGUAAUGUAAUAUCUGACCAGCGGCCAUCAUAAAAGUGCAGAAUAAUACCUUUAAGUUCCUUUGCAUAUUCAUGAUUACAUUUGAUUCAGGUAAUGCAUGUAUGAAUCUAUUUCAUCCUGUGAAACUA